rnacentral:rRNA from 1 species
UUGGAGGGCAAGUCUGGUGCCAGCAGCCGCGGUAAUUCCAGCUCCAAUAGCGUAUAUUAAAGUUGUUGCAGUUAAAAAGCUCGUAGUUGAAUUUCGGGAUCAAGGAAUCGGUCAUGCCUUGGUAUGUACUGGUUUUAUUGGUUCUCACCUUCUAAAGAACCAUAAUGUCAUUUAUUUGAUGUUAUGGGGAAUUAGGACUGUUACCUUGAAAAAAUUAGAGUGUUUAAAGCAAGCUUACGCUUGAAUACAUUAGCAUGGAAUAAUGAAAUAGGACAUCAGAUUCUAUUUUGUUGGUUUCUAGGAUCGAUGUAAUGAUUAAUAGGGACAGUUGGGGGCAUUAGUAUUCAAUUGUCAGAGGUGAAAUUCUUGGAUUUAUUGAAGACUAACUACUGCGAAAGCAUUUGCCAAGGAUGUUUUCAUUAAUCAAGAACGAAAGUUAGGGGAUCGGAGACGAUCAGAUACCGUCGUAGUCUUAACCAUAAACUAUGCCGACUAGGGAUCGGAUGAUGUUAAUUUUUUAAUGACUCAUUCGGCGCCUUACGGGAAAC